AUUGAACGCUGGCGGCAUGCCUUACACAUGCAAGUCGAACGGCAGCACGGGUGCUUGCACCUGGUGGCGAGUGGCGAACGGGUGAGUAAUACAUCGGAACGUACCUUAUCGUGGGGGAUAACGCAGCGAAAGCUGUGCUAAUACCGCAUACGCCCUGAGGGGGAAAGCGGGGGAUCGCAAGACCUCGCGCGAUUAGAGCGGCCGAUGCCUGAUUAGCUAGUUGGUGGGGUAAAAGCCCACCGAGGCGACGAUCAGUAGCUGGUCUGAGAGGACGAUCAGCCACACUGGGAAUGAGACACGGCCCAGACUCCUACGGGAGGCAGCAGUGGGGAAUUUUGGACCAUGGGGGCAACCCUGAUCAAGCAAAGCCGCGUGAGUGAAGAAGGCCUUCGGGUUGUAAAGCUCUUUUGUCAGGGAAGAAACACCGGCUCUAACACAGUCCGGGAAUGACGGUACCUGAAGAAUAAGCACCGGCUAACUACGUGCCAGCAGCCGCCGCCG
rnacentral:rRNA from 1 species